rnacentral:sRNA from 2 species
UGAAUGACUUGUUAGGUGAGGCUCCUAUACAAACACAGGCUGCUGCUCAGAUUUGUCGAAAGACAGUAAUGGGUAGAACAGGGAUUGCCGAAUUAAGGCUUUUCAAAAAGCAGCUAAAAGCACCGCUUUUUACGUUGUAUAGUGCUAAAACUCAACGAAGAGAAAACUG